ACGGUUAAGGAAUGUGUAUUUAUGACGACAAUUUGUGAGACUGGUAAACUUAUGAUACGUACGAUGGUCUUUCGUUCUACACGGUGCAUUUCAAGGUCCUGCACCCAUCCGUCGGUAAACUGUACCUGGGCUUGUUGCAGUGACCGGAAGUUACUAAACUUCACGAGUGUAUGCACUCACUCCAAGAACCGUAUAAUUAUAAAUAUGCAUAUAAAUAUGCUAAGAUGAGAUAGCUGACUUCAUCUAACUAGCAAAUGUUGUCCAGGCUACGUUGGUGAUACAGUUUUUUUUUAAUGUGUAUGAUAUUUUUGUCAUGCGAUUUUAAAGCCGGUCCUACAACCGCAUCCAAGAAUAACAUGCAGCUUAUCUCAGAACUGUCGGUGAAAAUUAUUCUUGGAGCUAAGUUUAAUUGAGCUGCAUUUUAAAGAGGUGCAAUUUCACAAUUUGUGUAUAUUUUCUAAGUUCACUAUUUUGUCAUGUGUUGAGAAAAACACAGAUUUUAAAAUUACAUGGUCUAAUAUUUACAUUUAGCAUAACUGCAACAUUAUUUUUUCGUUUGUUUUUUUUAAAGACUCGAAAGGACUUGAAAUUCAAAGUUUCAGACUUGUGACUUGACUCGGACUUUUACACCAGUGACUUGAGACUCAACUCUGACUUGCCUGACAUUACUUGAGACUUGACUUGAGACUUGAGGAUAAAGACUUGAGACUUACUUGAGACUUGCAAAACAAUGACUUGGUCCCACCUCUGAUAUUCUAUUUCGGGCACGAUACGAACCUGUAAACAGGAAAGAAAUGAUCAGACAGGGACACGUGACUUGCCGUUUCCUGAAUACUCCGCCAUUAUGAGAAAACAGCGCGGAGCAUGCGCUUCAGGCUGCUAACAACAGGCCAAACCAUGGUCUCACACUGCCACCUAUUGGUAUAAAAAUGAAGCGUCCACUACAAAUAUCCCAGGGUAGUUACCAAGUUUCCUGUUACAAUUACUGUAGUUAUUUAGGGCAUUUCCAAAUGGAAAUAUCACUUACAUUGAAAGUGAAAUUACUUAAAUUAAUUCACAUAAAUGUGAUCACACAUUAGUGGGUAUCACAUUUACACUAAA
ensembl:lncRNA